rnacentral:rRNA from 1 species
GAACCAGUACUGUGAAGGAAAGGUGAAAAGCACCUCGAACAGAGGAGUGAAAUAGUCCCUGAAACCGUCUGCCUACAAGCGGUCGGAGCAACGUAAGUUGUGACGGCGUGCCUUUUGCAUAAUGAACCUACGAGUUACUUUCUCCGGCAAGGUUAAGGGCUUCAGGCCCGGAGCCGAAGCGAAAGCGAGUCUUAAUAGGGCGUGAUAGUCGGAGUGAGUAGACGCGAAACCAAGUGAUCUACCCUUGGUCAGGAUGAAGGUUGGGUAACACCAACUGGAGGUCCGAAUGGGUAUACGUUGAAAAGUGUUCCAAUGAACUGAGGGUAGGGGUGAAAGGCUAAUCAAACUUGGAGAUAGCUCGUACUCCCCGAAAUGCAUUUAGGUGCAGCCUUUAUUUAGUAUAGCAUGAGGUAGAGCGACUGAUUGGAUGCGAGGGCUUCACCGCCUAUCAAGUCCAGAUAAACUCCGAAUGCGUGCUAUAUAUUGAUAAGGAGUGAGGGCGCGGGUGCUAAGGUCCGCGUCCGAGAGGAGAAGAAUCCAGACCAUCAGCUAAGGUCCCCAAAUAACAGUUAAGUUGAACUAACGAAGUCGGACUGCAGAGACAGCUAGGAUGUUGGCUUGGAAGCAGCCAUUCAUUUAAAGAGUGCGUAACAGCUCACUAGUCGAGGAGUCCGGCGUGGAUAAUACUCGGGCAUAAACUGUUUACCGAAGCUAUGGAUGUAGAAAUACAUGGUAGGGGAGCAUUCCAACGGCGUCGAAGGUGAAGGAUGACCUUUGCUGGAGCUUUUGGAAACGCAAAUGUAGGUAUAAGUAACGAUAAAGGAGGUGAGAAACCUCCUCGCCGAAAGACUAAGGUUUCCUGAUCAACGUUAAUCGGAUCAGGGUAAGUCGGGACCUAAGGUUAAGCCGAACGGCGAUACCGAUGGAAGAAUGGUUUAAUAUUCCCAUACUACUUUAUGGAGCGAUGUGGAGACGGAGAAGUGAAAGUCCUGCCAUCUGACGGAAUAGGUGGUUGAAGAGUGUAGAUGUAGAUUCCUGUAGGCAAAUCCGCAGGGAGAGUCGACCUUGAUAGUAUGCCGCGUGCUUGCACAAGGCAAAAUGGACGUAAUCAGGCUCCCAAGAAAAUCCGCUAAGCAUAUUCAUAAAGUACCCGUACCGUAAACGGACACACGUAGUUGGGUUGAAAAUACUGAGGCGCUCGAGUGAUUCACGGUUAAGGAACUAGGCAAAUUGACCCUGUAACUUCGGGAUAAAGGGUCCCUACUGAGAGGUAGGGCGCAGAGAAUAGGUCCAGGCAACUGUUUAACAAAAACACAUGGCUGUGCGAAAUAGAAAUAUGAAGUAUACAGCCUGACACCUGCCCGGUGCUGGAAGGUUAAGAGGAGAGCUCAUCGCAAGAGAAGGCUUGAAUUGAAGCCCCAGUAAACGGCGGCCGUAACUAUAACGGUCCUAAGGUAGCGAAAUUCCUUGUCGGGUAAGUUCCGACCUGCACGAAUGGUGUAAUGAUCUGGA